GACGAACGCUGGCGGCGUGCUUAACACAUGCAAGUCGAACGGAAAGGCCCUGCUUUUGUGGGGUGCUCGAGUGGCGAACGGGUGAGUAACACGUGAGUAACCUGCCCUUGACUUUGGGAUAACUUCAGGAAACUGGGGCUAAUACCGGAUAGGAGCUCCUGCUGCAUGGUGGGGGUUGGAAAGUUUCGGCGGUUGGGGAUGGACUCGGGGCUUAUCAGCUUGUUGGUGGGGUAGUGGCUUACCAAGGCUUUGACGGGUAGCCGGCCUGAGAGGGUGACCGGCCACAUUGGGACUGAGAUACGGCCCAGACUCCUACGGGAGGCAGCAGUGGGGAAUAUUGCACAAUGGGCGGAAGCCUGAUGUAGCAACGCCGCGUGCGGGAUGACGGCCUUCGGGUUGUAAACCGCUUUCGCCUGUGACGAAGCGUGAGUGACGGUAAUGGGUAAAGAAGCACCGGCUAACUACGUG
rnacentral:rRNA from 1 species